UGGGACCCAACAGAGGAUGAAUUGUGCUGGAAUAAGGGUAAAGUCAGGGGAAACUCUGGUGGAAGCUCGUAGCGAUUUUGACGUACAAAUUGAUUGUCAAAGUUGGGUAGAGGGCCAAAAGACUAAUC
rnacentral:rRNA from 1 species